rnacentral:rRNA from 1 species
CAGGCUUAACACAUGCAAGUCGAGGGGCAUCAGGUAGAAAGCUUGCUUUCUUUGCUGGCGACCGGCGCACGGGUGAGUAACACGUAUCCAACCUGCCCUUUACUCGGGGAUAGCCUUUCGAAAGAAAGAUUAAUACCCGAUAGCAUAAUGAUUCCGCAUGGUUUCAUUAUUAAAGGAUUCCGGUAAAGGAUGGGGAUGCGUUCCAUUAGGUUGUUGGUGAGGUAACGGCCCACCAAGCCUUCGAUGGAUAGGGGUUCUGAGAGGAAGGUCCCCCACAUUGGAACUGAGACACGGUCCAAACUCCUACGGGAGGCAGCAGUGAGGAAUAUUGGUCAAUGGGCGCUAGCCUGAACCAGCCAAGUAGCGUGAAGGAUGAAGGCUCUAUGGGUCGUAAACUUCUUUUAUAUAAGAAUAAAGUGCAGUAUGUAUACUGUUUUGUAUGUAUUAUAUGAAUAAGGAUCGGCUAACUCCGUGCCAGCAGCCGCGGUAAUACGGAGGAUCCGAGCGUUAUCCGGAUUUAUUGGGUUUAAAGGGAGCGUAGGUGGACUGGUAAGUCAGUUGUGAAAGUUUGCGGCUCAACCGUAAAAUUGCAGUUGAUACUGUCAGUCUUGAGUACAGUAGAGGUGGGCGGAAUUCGUGGUGUAGCGGUGAAAUGCUUAGAUAUCACGAAGAACUCCGAUUGCGAAGGCAGCUCACUGGACUGCAACUGACACUGAUGCUCGAAAGUGUGGGUAUCAAACAGGAUUAGAUACCCUGGUAGUCCACACAGUAAACGAUGAAUACUCGCUGUUUGCGAUAUACAGUAAGCGGCCAAGCGAAAGCAUUAAGUAUUCCACCUGGGGAGUACGCCGGCAACGGUGAAACUCAAAGGAAUUGACGGGGGCCCGCACAAGCGGAGGAACAUGUGGUUUAAUUCGAUGAUACGCGAGGAACCUUACCCGGGCUUAAAUUGCAGUGGAAUGAUGUGGAAACAUGUCAGUGAGCAAUCACCGCUGUGAAGGUGCUGCAUGGUUGUCGUCAGCUCGUGCCGUGAGGUGUCGGCUUAAGUGCCAUAACGAGCGCAACCCUUAUCUUUAGUUACUAACAGGUUAUGCUGAGGACUCUAGAGAGACUGCCGUCGUAAGAUGUGAGGAAGGUGGGGAUGACGUCAAAUCAGCACGGCCCUUACGUCCGGGGCUACACACGUGUUACAAUGGGGGGUACAGAAGGCAGCUAGCGGGUGACCGUAUGCUAAUCCCAAAAUCCUCUCUCAGUUCGGAUCGAAGUCUGCAACCCGACUUCGUGAAGCUGGAUUCGCUAGUAAUCGCGCAUCAGCCACGGCGCGGUGAAUACGUUCCCGGGCCUUGUACACACCGCCCGUCAAGCCAUGGGAGCCGGGGGUACCUGAAGUACGUCCCCUAAAGGAUCGUCCUAGGGUAAAACUGG